rnacentral:rRNA from 1 species
CCUACGGGAGGCAGCAGUGAGGAAUAUUGGUCAAUGGACGCAAGCCUGAACCAGCCAAGUAGCGUGAAGGAAGACGGCCCUAUGAGUUGUAAACUGCUUUUGUAAGAGGGUAAAGGGAGACACGCGUGCCUGUUUGAAAGUACCGUACGAAUAAGGAUCGGCUAACUCCGUGCCAGCAGCCGCGGUAAUACGGAGGAUUCCAGCGUUAUCCGGAUUUCUUGGGUUUAAAGGGGGCGUAGGCGGUCGGUUAAGUUAGUUGUGAAAGCCCGAGGCUCAACUUAGGAAUUGCCUGUGAUACUGUCCGUCUUGAGUGUAGUUGCGGUAGGCGGAAUUCGUGGUGUAGCGGUGAAAUGCUUAGAUAUCACGCAGAACUCCGAUUGCGACGGCAGCUUACCAAGCUGCUUCUGACGUUGAUGCUCGACAGCGUGGGUAUCAAACAGGAUUAGAUACCCGGGUAGUC